UCCCAUGUGGUCUAGUGGCUAGGAUACCUGGCUUUCACCCAGGAGGCCAGGUUCGAUUCCCGGCAUGGGAA